rnacentral:SRP_RNA from 1 species
GCUGGGCGUGGUGGUGUGUGCCUGUAAGUCUCAGCUACUCUGGAGGCUGAGCCCAGGAGUUCUGGGCUGUAGUGUGCUAUGCCAAUCAGGUGUCCGCACUAAGUUAAGCAUCAAUAUGGUGACCUCCCGGGAGCAGGGGACCACCAGGUUGCCUAAGGAGGGGUGAACUGGCCCAGGUCAGAAACAGAGCAGGUCAGAACUCCCAUACUGAUCAGUAGGGGGAUCUUGCCUGUGAAUAACCACUGCAUUUCAGCCUGGGCAACAU